AAUUAAGCUAUGAGAGGGAAGAGUAGGCGGGAUAGAGACCUGUCAGAGAGAGGAGCCCACGGCUGGAAGGCUUCUUCAGGUUACACCGUUGAACGUCACCCUUGAGCUGAACAUCUGAAGGGUGUUGCUGUGUAAGAUGUUCCGGCGCCAACCGAUACCUGGCCCUAGAGUGCACUGAACCGACCAGUUGGGUUCGGUGAACAAAGGUGGUACCGCGAAACAACCUUUCGUCCUUUGC
rnacentral:ncRNA from 1 species